UCCUUGUUAGCUCAGAUAGUAAAGAACCUGCUUACAAUGCAGGAGACCCAGGUUUGAUCCCUGGGUCAGGAA
rnacentral:tRNA from 1 species